GGCCUUCCCUGUAGCUCAGUUGGUAGAGCAUGGUGUUUGCAACCAGGGUUGUGGGUUCGAUUCCCACGGGGGCCA